rnacentral:rRNA from 1 species
GAUGAACGCUAGCGGCAGGCUUAAUACAUGCAAGUCGUGGGGCAGCAGGUCCGUAGCAAUACGGAUGCUGGCGACCGGCAAACGGGUGCGUAACACGUACGCAACCUUCCUUCAGGCGGGGAAUAGCCCGGGGAAACCCGGAUUAAUACCCCAUAAAAUCUUGAGAUGGCAUCAUCUUAUUAUUAAAGCUUCGGCACCUGAUGAUGGGCGUGCGGCUGAUUAGGUAGUUGGCGGGGUAACGGCCCACCAAGCCAGCGAUCAGUAGCUGAUGUGAGAGCAUGAUCAGCCACACGGGCACUGAGACACGGGCCCGACUCCUACGGGAGGCAGCAGUAAGGAAUAUUGGUCAAUGGACGAAAGCCUGAUCCAGCAAUGCCGCGUGAGUGAUGAAGGCCUUAGGGUUGUAAAGCUUCCUUUUACCCGGGAUGAUAAUGACAGUACCGGGAGAAUAAGCUCCGGCUAACUCCGUG